CAUGACGGUGUGGUGUGUAGGUUCCUAUCGUUAUUGCUUCCGUUGUUGGCCUGGGGCGCCGCGGAUGACCCUACAUAGCCCUUGGCCGGCCACCGGGAAGAUUGCGUCUCGUACUGACGAUCGUAACAAAGACGCACCGUGCUUUCCUUCUGAGGGUUUAGUAGCCCUAAUACGUGCAGCAGACUAGUCAUGUGGUAAGGGGAAGGAUAGUUCAUGAUGUGCCCGAGGGCCGGGUGGACGGCCCCCAGAAGUCCCAGGAGUGAAAGCCGAGGGUCCUGUCUGGGCUAGUACGCGGGAAGCCCUGGGUGGGGCUCUAGAGGGGUGCCCCCUUCCUGUUUAGCGUAAUGCCGCAGAGUUGGAGAGACAGGAGAAAGCGGCGCAAAUUUAUUUGUAGAAAGCCCUAGCAAGGACAACAAACCUGUGGACUCAUUGGAGUAGGAAUAAAAUACAGGCCUGGUGCAGUCUCCCAAUGUGAUGUUGCCGAGGUGUGUGCAGAAUGAUCGUUCCCUUCCUUUCCUUCUCUAGGAAGUUUGUCUGCUGAAAGUAAGCGCCCUCCCGGGAGGAUGUGUUGAACUUUUGGGAAGGUUGGUGACUAAACUCUGCUUGUGCUAACUGCCCAGCAAUGACUCAGUUGAGAUCCAGAAGCCAGGAAGAAGGAAGGGGGCCUACUUAUUGGCCAAGAUGGCUGAUCGGGAUGAGUGCAGAUAUGAUUUUAGGCCGUGGGCCUGAGGUAUGUCCUCUGACCUCACCAGUGUCCUACAGAACUCCCCAUAUGGCUUUGGGCAGCUCUGAACUUAACUCUGGUAGCCAGCCUAUGUCUUAAGUUGUGGACUGGAUUUGGGUUGGCCUGGGUUUGACUGGUCUGUGUGUGGUAGUGGCACUGGAGAUGGGGAACCUCUAAAACUCAACAUCUCUACCUGACUGUACACGGUCUUAAAAGAUAUAAUUAUGAGUUGGGGGGGUUGGGGAUUUAGCUCAGUGGUAGAGCGCUUGCCUGGCAAGGCCCUGGGUUCAGUCCCCAGCUCCGAAAAAAAAGAAAAAAUGAGUUGGGGGGGGUGAUAGUGGUCCCUCCCUAUAGUUGAAGGCCAGCCUGGUCUACAAAGCAAGUUCCAGGAUGGCCAGAACUAUUAAACAAAUAAACCCUGUCUUGAAAAACUAAGAAGGAGAAAGAGUGAUCUAGGAGGGGAACUGGCUGUAGUAGAUGCUGUGACAUAAAUAAACUUGUCAAUUUUUACGGCUGGAAUCUUCCUUUGCUAUUAAGUUUCUUCUCGUCUAUCUCCCCUGGAAAAUAAAGCAUGCCAGAGUGAAUGGUAAGAUUUGAGGUUUAGUUUGGGCUGGAACUGGCUUUUAACAGGAGCUAAGCUUUCUGCAUACUGUGGGCAAACAUUUCCCCUAAGCCAGGAGACUGGUGGGAGGGGGGUGAGGCACAAGGACAGCACUACAGAAAUGCUGCUCAGCUAAAGUGUCUGGAGCCCAGACUGGGGCUGCUGUUGUGUGCCAUAGCAGAUAUUGCUCCUUGGUAGAGCAUGAUGCCUGUGGCAGAAAUGCAUAGGUCCACAGGUUGGGUCCUUGGGAUAGUG
ensembl:lncRNA